GCGAGUGGAACUACAGCGAUUCAGCGGUGACUGACCGGCGCAGAUCCAACCAGCUGGAGGAUCCGAGGACAUUUCCGAAGCGAUACAAAUGCUCCUUACGUGGAAUGUCUUCCUUCACGUCUUCUUAAGAUUCUAAAGAAGGCGCUGUGCUGGACAGUAGGAGCUGUUGAAGUUUUGACUGUGGGUUUGCGCUCCCUCAGUCUCACCCACGCUCUGUCUCCAAGAAGCUGCAGGGUUUUCGCUGAGUUGGCAAAAGUGCGUCGCAGAAAUAAACUGGCGGCCUUCAAGAGCUACAACACGCACAUCUUGUCCUCAUCGGACCUCCAAGUAAGCCGUGAGGAUAAAAUACUACAGUGUUGAAUAAGAAAAACAGCAAAAUGAUGGACUUUCCAAAACCUGACAUGCUGUAGAUAUAUUUUAUGUAAAUGAUUGUUUGGGUUUUGGCUCCCAGCCCUUCAUAUAAGGGAUUUAUUGCAGUUUG